GGCCGAUGAUGGAAAUGAAUAUAGACAAGCAUAUGUCUGACUUGAUUAUGAGGAACUUUCUUUGAGAUCUGAGGCC
rnacentral:snoRNA from 1 species